GCCCAGGUGGUGGAAUGGUAGACACGAAGGACUUAAAAUCCUUUGGCCAGUACGGCCGUGCGGGUUCGAGUCCCGCCCCGGGCA
rnacentral:tRNA from 1 species